UGCCAAUGAGUGAUGAAGAGGAACGAGUCGUCAUUCCUUAGCUAAACUAGAGAAAUGUCAAGUUAAAAACUAAAGAAUAUACAUCUUGCAUAAAGAAUGCCAGUAAUUAGCUAUAGAAUUUCAAGAAUCCUCUUCGGUCCAAUUUAUAAUGAUCAAGAAAUGAAAAUACAUUUUUACAUCCACAGAAAAUGUAAUAAAUACCACAGUAAUAUUUAAAUCAUUCAAAGGAGAUACAAAGUAUGACAAAAUCAUUAUGCUAAUGAGCGAUGAUCGAUGUAAGCUUCACACUUCAUUUUACGAUAAAUUGCCAAGAAAAAAUAGAAAACAAAUUUUGUAUCCAACAAUUAAAAAUAAACCGAAGUUCAUCAUAUGCUGUCGUCGCAUUCGGAACUAAUAUC
rnacentral:lncRNA from 1 species